AGAACACUCACCAGUCUGGGAGUGCACAAAUUCCUCCUCCAAAAUACUUGAGGGACUUCAUUUAGCUGCAUAAAAAUAUUCGCUAGUUACUUAGGGACAUCCAGACUGUGGCAGGGCCCUCAUUCAGGGCACAGGAUGGACAGUGCUGACUGAAUGAGCAGCCAGAAACCUCUAUCCGUUAUUGCUGGAACUCCUUCCAUAGACACAUACUCAGCAGUUCUGGAUACAUCCCCUAGAACGAUCCCGUGGUCUGACUCUCCACCCACUCACUGCCACCUGGCACAGUAAAGGAAUUUGACUCAGAUUUUCUGUACAGAUUAGGAGGGGCUGUGAGUCUGAAAGAUUAGAGACCAAAAAUAGAAG